AACGAACGCUGGCGGCAGGCCUAACACAUGCAAGUCGAACGAGACCUUCGGGUCUAGUUGCGCACGGGUGCGUAACGCGUGGGAACCUGCCCUUAGGUUUGUAAUAACUCCCCGAAACGGGUGCUUAUACCGGAUAAUGUCGUCGGACCAACGAUUGAUCUCCUUUGGGUGGGCCCGCGUUGGAUUAGCUAGUUGGUAGGGUAAAAGGCUACCAAGUCGACGAUCCAUAGCUGGUCUGAGAGGAUGAUCAGGCACACUGGGACUGAGAGACGGCGCAGAAUGGUACGGGAGGCAGCAGUGGGGAAUCUGGGACAGUGGAGGAGAGUCUGAGACAGCAGUGCCGCGUGAGUGAAGCAGCUUUUAGGGUUGUAAAACGUGGUUCACCGGGAUGAUAAUGACAGUACCGGGAGAAUAAGCUCCGGCUAACUCCGUG
rnacentral:rRNA from 1 species